GACGAACGCUGGCGGCGUGCUUAACACAUGCAAGUCGAACGGAAAGGCCCUGCUUUUGUGGGGUGCUCGAGUGGCGAACGGGUGAGUAACACGUGAGUAACCUGCCCUUGACUUUGGGAUAACUUCAGGAAACUGGGGCUAAUACCGGAUAGGAGCUCCUGCUGCAUGGUGGGGGUUGGAAAGUUUCGGCGGUUGGGGAUGGACUCGCGGCUUAUCAGCUUGUUGGUGGGGUAGUGGCUUACCAAGGCUUUGACGGGUAGCCGGCCUGAGAGGGUGACCGGCCACAUGGGGACUGAGAUACGGCCCAGACUCCUACGGGAGGCAGCAGUGGGGAAUAUUGCACAAUGGGCGGAAGCCUGAUGCAGCAACGCCGCGUGCGGGAUUACGGCCUUCGGGUUGUAAACCGCUUUCGCCUGUGACGAAGCGUGAGUGACGGUAAUGGGUAAAGAAGCACCGGCUAACUACGUG
rnacentral:rRNA from 1 species